rnacentral:rRNA from 1 species
GACGAACGCUGGCGGCGUGCUUAACACAUGCAAGUCGAACGGAAAGGCCCUGCUUUUGUGGGGUGCUCGAGUGGCGAACGGGUGAGUAACACGUGAGUAACCUGCCCUUGACUUUGGGAUAACUUCAGGAAACUGGGGCUAAUACCGGAUAGGAGCUCCUGCUGCAUGGUGGGGGUUGGAAAGUUUCGGCGGUUGGGGAUGGACGCGCGGCUUAUCAGCUUGUUGGUGGGGUAGUGGCUUACCAAGGCUUUGACGGGUAGCCGGCCUGAGAGGGUGACCGGCCACAUUGGGACUGGGAUACGGCCCAGACGCCUACGGGAGGCAGCAGUGAGGAAUAUUGCACAAUGGGCGGAAGCCUGAUGCAGCAACGCCGCGUGCGGGAUGACGGCCUUCGGGUUGUAAACCGCUUUCGCCUGUGACGAAGCGUGAGUGACGGUAAUGGGUAAAGAAGCACCGGCUAACUACGUG